rnacentral:rRNA from 1 species
GUUAAGCGACUAAGCGUACACGGUGGAUGCCUAGGCAGUCAGAGGCGAUGAAGGGCGUGCUAAUCUGCGAAAAGCGUCGGUAAGCUGAUAUGAAGCGUUACAACCGACGAUACCCGAAUGGGGAAACCCAGUGCAAUUCGUUGCACUAUUGCAUGGUGAAUACAUAGCCAUGCAAGGCGAACCGGGGGAACUGAAACAUCUAAGUACCCCGAGGAAAAGAAAUCAACCGAGAUUCCCCCAGUAGCGGCGAGCGAACGGGGAGGAGCCCAGAGUCUGAAUCAGUUUGUGUGUUAGUGGAAGCGUCUGGAAAGUCGCACGGUACAGGGUGAUAGUCCCGUACACAAAAAUACACUUGCUGUGAACUCGAUGAGUAGGGCGGGACACGUGACAUCCUGUCUGAAUAUGGGGGGACCAUCCUCCAAGGCUAAAUACUCCUGACUGACCGAUAGUGAACCAGUACCGUGAGGGAAAGGCGAAAAGAACCCCGGCGAGGGGAGUGAAAUAGAACCUGAAACCGUGUACGUACAAGCAGUGGGAGCACCUUCGUGGUGUGACUGCGUACCUUUUGUAUAAUGGGUCAGCGACUUAUAUUUUGUAGCAAGGUUAACCGAAUAGGGGAGCCGUAGGGAAACCGAGUCUUAACUGGGCGUCUAGUUGCAAGGUAUAGACCCGAAACCCGGUGAUCUAGCCAUGGGCAGGUUGAAGGUUGGGUAACACUAACUGGAGGACCGAACCGACUAAUGUUGAAAAAUUAGCGGAUGACUUGUGGCUGGGGGUGAAAGGCCAAUCAAACCGGGAGAUAGCUGGUUCUCCCCGAAAGCUAUUUAGGUAGCGCCUCGUGAACUCAUCUUCGGGGGUAGAGCACUGUUUCGGCUAGGGGGUCAUCCCGACUUACCAAACCGAUGCAAACUCCGAAUACCGAAGAAUGUUAUCACGGGAGACACACGGCGGGUGCUAACGUCCGUCGUGAAGAGGGAAACAACCCAGACCGCCAGCUAAGGUCCCAAAGUCAUGGUUAAGUGGGAAACGAUGUGGGAAGGCACAGACAGCCAGGAUGUUGGCUUAGAAGCAGCCAUCAUUUAAAGAAAGCGUAAUAGCUCACUGGUCGAGUCGGCCUGCGCGGAAGAUGUAACGGGGCUAAACCAUGCACCGAAGCUGCGGCAGCGACACUUAGGUGUUGUUGGGUAGGGGAGCGUUCUGUAAGCCGUUGAAGGUGGCCUGUGAGGGCUGCUGGAGGUAUCAGAAGUGCGAAUGCUGACAUAAGUAACGAUAAUGCGGGUGAAAAGCCCGCACGCCGGAAGACCAAGGGUUCCUGUCCAACGUUAAUCGGGGCAGGGUGAGUCGACCCCUAAGGCGAGGCUGAAAAGCGUAGUCGAUGGGAAACAGGUUAAUAUUCCUGUACUCGGUGUUACUGCGAAGGGGGGACGGAGAAGGCUAGGCUAGCCGGGCGACGGUUGUCCCGGUUUAAGCAUGUAGGCGGAGUGACCUGGUAAAUCCGGUUGCUUAUCAACGCUGAGGUGUGAUGACGAUGCACUACGGUGCAGAAGUAGUUGAUGCCAAGCUUCCAGGAAAAGCCUCUAAGCAUCAGGUAACAUUGAAUCGUACCCCAAACCGACACAGGUGGUCAGGUAGAGAAUACUCAGGCGCUUGAGAGAACUCGGGUGAAGGAACUAGGCAAAAUGGUGCCGUAACUUCGGGAGAAGGCACGCUGGCAUUAGGUAAAGAGACUUGCUCUCGUAGCCGAAGCCAGUCGCAGAUACCAGCUGGCUGCAACUGUUUAAUAAAAACACAGCACUGUGCAAACACGAAAGUGGACGUAUACGGUGUGACGCCUGCCCGGUGCUGGAAGGUUAAUUGAUGGGGUCAGCCGCAAGGCGAAGCUCUUGAUCGAAGCCCCAGUAAACGGCGGCCGUAACUAUAACGGUCCUAAGGUAGCGAAAUUCCUUGUCGGGUAAGUUCCGACCUGCACGAAUGGCGUAAUGAUGGCCAGGCUGUCUCCACCCGAGACUCAGUGAAAUUGAACUCGCUGUGAAGAUGCAGUGUACCCGCGGCAAGACGGAAAGACCCCGUGAACCUUUACUAUAGCUUGACACUGAACAUUGAGCCUUGAUGUGUAGGAUAGGUGGGAGGCAUCGAAGCGUGGACGCCAGUCUGCGUGGAGCCAACCUUGAAAUACCACCCUUUAAUGUUUGAUGUUCUAACUCGGCCCCGUAAUCCGGGGUGAGGACAGUGUCUGGUGGGUAGUUUGACUGGGGCGGUCUCCUCCCAAAGAGUAACGGAGGAGCACGAAGGUUAGCUAAUCACGGUCGGACAUCGUGAGGUUAGUGCAAAGGCAUAAGCUAGCUUGACUGCGAGAGUGACGGCUCGAGCAGGUACGAAAGUAGGUCUUAGUGAUCCGGUGGUUCUGAAUGGAAGGGCCAUCGCUCAACGGAUAAAAGGUACUCCGGGGAUAACAGGCUGAUACCGCCCAAGAGUUCAUAUCGACGGCGGUGUUUGGCACCUCGAUGUCGGCUCAUCACAUCCUGGGGCUGAAGUAGGUCCCAAGGGUAUGGCUGUUCGCCAUUUAAAGUGGUACGCGAGCUGGGUUUAGAACGUCGUGAGACAGUUCGGUCCCUAUCUGCCGUGGGCGUUGGAAGAUUGAGAGGGGCUGCUCCUAGUACGAGAGGACCGGAGUGGACGAAUCACUGGUGUUCGGGUUGUCAUGCCAAUGGCAUUGCCCGGUAGCUAAAUUCGGAAGAGAUAACCGCUGAAAGCAUCUAAGCGGGAAACUUGCCUCGAGAUGAGUCUUCCCUGGGGCUUUAAGCCCCCUGAAGGAACGUUAAAGACUAUGACGUUGAUAGGCUGGGUGUGUAAGUGCAGCGAUGCAUUGAGCUAACCAGUACUAAUGAUCCGUGAGGCUUAACC